GACGAACGCUGGCGGCGUGCUUAACACAUGCAAGUCGAACGGAAAGGCCCUGCUUUUGUGGGGUGCUCGAGUGGCGAACGGGUGAGUAACACGCGAGUAACCUGCCCUUGACUUUGGGAUAACUUCAGGAAACUGGGGCUAAUACCGGAUAGGAGCUCCUGCUGCAUGGUGGGGGUUGGAAAGUUUCGGCGGUUGGGGAUGGACUCGCGGCUUAUCAGCUUGUUGGUGGGGUAGUGGCUUACCAAGGCUUUGACGGGUAGCCGGCCUGAGAGGGUGACCGGCCACAUUGGGACUGAGAUACGGCCCAGACUCCUACGGGAGGCAGCAGUGGGGAAUAUUGCACAAUGGGCGGAAGCCUGAUGCAGCAACGCCGCGUGCGGGAUGACGGCCUUCGGGUUGUAAACCGCUUUCGCCUGUGACGAAGCGUGAGUGACGGUAAUGGGUAAAGAAGCACCGGCUAACUACGUGCCAGCAGCCGCGGUGAUACGUAGGGUGCGAGCGUUGUCCGGAUUUAUUGGGCGUAAAGGGCUCGUAGGUGGUUGAUCGCGUCGGAAGUGUAAUCUUGGGGCUUAACCCUGAGCGUGCUUUCGAUACGGGUUGACUUGAGGAAGGUAGGGGAGAAUGGAAUUCCUGGUGGAGCGGUGGAAUGCGCAGAUAUCAGGAGGAACACCAGUGGCGAAGGCGGUUCUCUGGGCCUUUCCUGACGCUGAGGAGCGAAAGCGUGGGGAGCGAACAGGCUUAGAUACCCUGGUAGUCCACGCUGUAAACGGUGGGUACUAGGUGUGGGGUCCAUUCCACGGGUUCCGUGCCGUAGCUAACGCUUUAAGUACCCCGCCUGGGGAGUACGGCCGCAAGGCUAAAACUCAAAGGAAUUGACGGGGCCCCGCACAAGCGGCGGAGCAUGCGGAUUAAUUCGAUGCAACGCGUAGAACCUUACCUGGGUUUGACAUGGAUCGGGAGCGCUCAGAGAUGGGUGUGCCUCUUUUGGGGUCGGUUCACAGGUGGUGCAUGGCUGUCGUCAGCUCGUGUCGUGAGAUGUUGGGUUAAGUCCCGCAACGAGCGCAACCCUUGUUCACUGUUGCCAGCACGUUAUGGUGGGGACUCAGUGGAGACCGCCGGGGUCAACUCGGAGGAAGGUGGGGAUGACGUCAAGUCAUCAUGCCCCUUAUGUCCAGGGCUUCACGCAUGCUACAAUGGCUGGUACAGAGAGUGGCGAGCCUGUGAGGGUGAGCGAAUCUCGGAAAGCCGGUCUCAGUUCGGAUUGGGGUCUGCAACUCGACCUCAUGAAGUCGGAGUCGCUAGUAAUCGCAGAUCAGCAACGCUGCGGUGAAUACGUUCCCGGG
rnacentral:rRNA from 1 species